GACCCUGUAGCGCAGCCUGGAUAGCGCGACUGCCUCCUAAGCAGUAGGUCGGGAGUUCGAAUCUCCCCAGGGUCG
rnacentral:tRNA from 1 species